GACGAACGCUGGCGGCGUGCUUAACACAUGCAAGUCGAGCGGUAAGGCCCUUUCGGGGGUACGACGAGCGGCGAACGGGUGAGUAACACGUGGGUGACCUGCCCUCAGCUCUGGGAUAAGCCCGGGAAACUGGGUCUAAUACCGGAUAUGACUCCAUGACGCAUGUUGUGGGGUGAAAGCCUUGUGCGGCUGAGGAUGGGCCCGCGGCCUAUCAGCUUGUUGGUGGGGUGANGGCCUACCAAGGCGACGACGGGUAGCCGGCC
rnacentral:rRNA from 1 species